rnacentral:lncRNA from 1 species
UUUGUACUAUGUUUAGCCAAUUCCGUGAUGUAUCUUCAUUCUGAUACAUAUUUGACAAUGACUUUUGAUGGAUUUAAUGGAGUUUCACCAAAAAUUGAUCGGAGCAAUGGAGAUAGUGGUGACACUGCGACAACGGUUAGAUGGUGGUGUUGGGUCUUUUUGAUACGUUUUUUUAAUGACCUUUGGCGAGGAUGAAUUGGGUUCAACGGUGAUGGAGGGGGUGGCGAUAGAGGUGUUUUGCCAGUGGGUGACGGUCGGCUGGAAGAGAGUAAUUUUUUGGUCGGUGAUGGAGGUGUUUCGGCCACACUUUUAGGUCAUUAGGUGAUAAUGGAGGAGGAAUGUUAUGUAUCGUCCUUUUUGAGAGAGAAGGUGAAAGUUGAAAUUACUUUGUAGAGGUGAGAUUU